rnacentral:rRNA from 1 species
UGGGGAAUUUUGGACAAUGGGCGAAAGCCUGAUCCAGCAAUGCCGCGUGUGUGAAGAAGGCCUUCGGGUUGUAAAGCACUUUUGUCCGGAAAGAAAUGGCUCUGGUUAAUACCUGGGGUCGAUGACGGUACCGGAAGAAUAAGGACCGGCUAACUACGUGCCAGCAGCCGCGGUAAUACGUAGGGUCCAAGCGUUAAUCGGAAUUACUGGGCGUAAAGCGUGCGCAGGCGGUUGUGCAAGACCGAUGUGAAAUCCCCGAGCUUAACUUGGGAAUUGCAUUGGUGACUGCACGGCUAGAGUGUGUCAGAGGGGGGUUAGAAUUCCACGUGUAGCAGUGAAAUGCGUAGAGAUGUGGAGGAAUACCGAUGGCGAAGGCAGCCCCCUGGGAUAACACUAACGCUCAUGCACGAAAGCGUGGGGAGCAAACAGGAUUAGAUACCCUGGUAGUCCACGCCCUAAACGAUGUCAACUAGUUGUUGGGGAUUCAUUUUCCUUAGUAACGUAGCUAACGCGUGAAGUUGACCGCCUGGGGAGUACGGUCGCAAGAUU